GAGCUGAACGUAUCGCUCGCUGUAUUCCUUCGCCAAAACGCCACCGUCGAAGUCUCUCUUUCUCUCUCUUCCCCUUUUCCCUCCGCUGCGAUCUCCGGCAAUCAAUCAUAUCUCUCCUGUCUCGCGGUGCUAGUCCAUUGCAAUGGUGAUUGGUCCUCCGAAAGCCCUCUCUGAUGCCUGGCCAUGUGGAUCCUUUUUGUAUUUUUGUUGAGCCUACUCGGAGAUGUUACUCCUUUUUGAGUGGAUUUCUUUCCAGCUUAAUUUCUCGCUGGUGCACAGAUCUGGUUGGCUCACCAGUUUGUGGUUCUCUUGAGUUGGCUCCAGUAAGGGAUCACCAUUCAAGCAUUAUGGCCGCAGUGGAAACUAUAGAGAUUACAUCAUCUGAUAGUGAUUUAACUUGGGAUCUAGAUGAAUAUAGAGAAGCAGGUGCAUCACCUCUAAGGCAAUCUGCUGCUUCUACUGAUCGCAGGAUCCUUCCAUCCUGGGAUUCUGCACUAGAUACUAAUUCUACAGGUCUUGUUGGAACAUCUCAAGAGGUCUCCUCUUAUAGAAGUUCUAAUGGAAGUUCUUCAAAUGUUAACCAUCAAAAAGAGGCUAAGCUCCAGUUUGCCCCCAGUUCUAGUGAACAUCUUAGAACUUCAAAUUGGAAUACAACACAAGCUGGCAACCCUAUGUAUGCUAAACAAAAUGAUCGUGAAAUUUUUUCAUCUGAGAAAGCUCUGAAGAGGGUGCUUCCAACAUCCAUCCAGCAAUCUGCACCUAGUUCUAGAUCAAGCAAUUUGGUACAGAAUGCUGGCAGCAGCCAGAUUCUUGAUACUCGUGGGAAAUCUCAUCAUCAUACUUGGUCUGAUCUAUCCAGCAGCAAGAACACUAUGAAAGACCAUUUUGGUAGGGGUGGCAAUGAUGAAGUUAUCGUGUAUGAGAACAGUGGAAAUAGGUUACUACCUCCAUCCUUGAUGCCUGGAAAGUCUGCUUCAACUACACAGUAUGUAACUUCAAGUGAUACUAUCCAUCGUCCUAGUCUGAAUGAAGAUAGAGCUGUUGAAAGUGAUGAGAGAUUAAUUUAUCAAGCAGCACUACAGGAUCUUAACCAACCUAAAGUUGAAGCUAAUUUACCUGCUGGUCUUUUGUCUGUCUCUCUUCUAAGGCAUCAGAAAAUUGCUUUGGCAUGGAUGCUUCAGAAGGAAACAAGAAGUUUGCAUUGUUUGGGUGGAAUCCUUGCCGAUGAUCAGGGCCUUGGAAAGACUAUCUCAAUAAUUGCCCUUAUACAGAUGCAGAGGUCUCUGCAAUCAAAGCAUAAAUCAGAAGGUGAAUGUUGUCCUAAAACUGAAGCUUUGAAUUUGGAUGAUGACGAUGACAAUAGCACCACUGCUGUUGACAAAGGAAAGCAGACUGGAGAUUCUGAUGCUGCUGAGGUAAUUCCCAGAGCAACUACUUCGGUUCCAGAGUUUCGUAGGCGGAGGCCUGCAGCUGGGACGUUGGUUGUAUGUCCAGCAAGUGUUCUUCGACAGUGGGCCCGAGAACUGGAUGAUAAAGUUGUGGAUGAAGCAAAACUUUCUGUUUUAAUCUAUCAUGGAAGCAACAGGACGAAGGAUCCUGUUGAAUUGGCCAAGUAUGAUGUAGUUCUCACGACAUAUGCUAUUGUUACUAAUGAAGUUCCAAAACAACCUUUGGUUGAUGAGGAUGAUGAUGAGCAAAAAGACAGGGACAAGUAUGGAUUGUCUUCAGAGUUCUCUGCUAAUAAGAAAAGGAAAAAGGUACCUAAGGGUAGCAGGAGGUCAAAGAAGGGUAAAAAAGGAAUUGAUAGUUCUGCUAUUGAUAAUGAUUGUGGCGCACUUGCAAGGGUUGGUUGGUUUAGGGUGGUGCUAGAUGAAGCCCAAACCAUAAAGAAUCACAGAACACAAGUGGCUAGAGCCUGCUGUGGCCUUAGAGCAAAAAGAAGAUGGUGCUUAUCUGGAACGCCUAUACAAAAUGCAAUUGAUGAGUUGUACAGUUACUUUAGAUUCUUGAAAUAUGAUCCUUAUGCUGUUUAUAAAUCAUUUUGCUAUACAUUAAAAUUCCCAAUAUCUAAAAACUCAUCGCAUGGUUACAAGAAGCUUCAAGCUGUUCUAAGGGCUGUAAUGUUACGCCGAACAAAAGGCACAUUGAUUGAUGGGGAGCCUAUAAUUUGUUUACCACCAAAAACAAUUCAUUUGAGUAAGGUGGAUUUCUCCAUAGAAGAGAGGACUUUCUAUGCCAAACUUGAAGCUGAUUCACGUUUACAAUUCAAGGCAUAUGCUGCUGCUGGAACUGUGAACCAAAACUAUGCAAAUAUUUUAUUGAUGCUUCUACGCCUUCGCCAGGCUUGUGACCACCCAUUACUCGUCAAAGGAGUCAGUUCUGACACUGUUGGAAGAGACUCUUCGGAGAUGGCAACGAAACUUCCCAGGGAUUUGCUGAUCAAUUUAUUGAAUCUCUUGGAAACUUCCUCUGCAAUCUGUUGCUUGUGCAGUGAUCCACCUGAAGAUGCAGUUGUUACUUUGUGUGGGCAUGUCUUUUGCUAUCAGUGUGUAUCAGACUGCUUGACUGGAGAUGAAAAUAUGUGUCCUGCACAUGAAUGCAAGGAACAACUUGGUUCCGAUGUUGUAUUCUCCAAGGCUACCUUAAGGAGUUGCAUCUCUGAGGAUCCUGAUAACAAUACCUUGUCUUCAUCUGAGUUUCUAGAAAAAUCUGCAGUUCUCAGGAACAAUUAUAGUUCUUCCAAAAUCAAAGCUGCUCUUGAGAUUAUUCAGUCACACUGUAAAUCAAAGAGUUCAAGUUCCACAUCACAUAAUAUGGUGCAACACAAUGGAGAUUCUUCAUAUUCAGGAAAAGCACACCCUGAGAGUUCACAUUUGGGUGUUAGGGCCACAACAGUAUUCCCAGAUUCAGAAACUGAAGGACCCAUAAAAGCCAUUGUUUUCUCUCAGUGGACUAGCAUGUUGGAUUUGGUUGAAAUUUCAUUGAACCAGUCUUGUAUACAAUACAGGAGGCUUGAUGGGACAAUGAGUCUGGCUUCAAGAGAUAGGGCUGUUAAAGAAUUUAACAGUAAUCCUGAGGUUACUGUUAUGCUGAUGUCACUAAAAGCAGGAAACCUUGGUCUAAACAUGGUUGCUGCUUGUCAUGUUAUCCUUCUGGAUCUUUGGUGGAAUCCAACUACUGAAGAUCAGGCUAUUGACCGUGCUCAUAGAAUCGGACAGACCCGUCCUGUUACCGUGUCACGGAUCACGGUUAAAGAUACUGUUGAAGAUCGGAUUUUAGCUCUCCAGCAAGGAGCAAGAAGAUUAUCUCAUCAAAAAUAUCAUCAAACCAAAUGAAAAGGACGAUCGGAUUUGGAUGAGAGAUAACAACUAGGUUAUGUCAUGGCUAGUAAAUUCCAUGGAGCCACGCAUAGGAGAAAAUUUUCUCCUAUAUGAAACUGUUGCAGAGGUUUGGAAGGUUGCAAAAGACACUUAUUCACACAAAGCCAACACCCCCGAACUAGUGACAAUUGAAGGCGUGUUGCAUGAUCUCCGACAAGGUGAUUUAUCUGUGACCGAAUAUUACAACUCCUUCAAAACUGGCAGCAACUGGAUGCUUUUGAAAAAUAUUCCUGGGAAACCAUCGCUGAUCUCAAACUCUACAAGAAGAUUAUAGAGAAUAAGAGGGUCUACAAAGUUUGCUUGGGCCUGAAUUCAAGUCUUGAUGUUGUAAGAGGAAGGAUAUUUAGCACAAAACCACUGCCAAGCUUAUGCGAAGCUUUUUUUGAGGUCCGAAGGGAAGAAAGUAGAUGCCAGGGACAAAAAAAUUAGCUGGUGGUGGUGAAUCAUCAGCCUUGGCUGUCCGAAACUAGCAACAACGACGAAAAGGUGGAAGGCCAUGGUGUGAACAUUGUCGCUGCCCUGGUCAUACCAAAGAAAUCUACUGGCAACUCCAUGGAAACCUGUUGAUUGGAAGCCAAAGGUAGUAGCACAAAAGGAAAGUCAAGGGCAACAUGACUUGCAAAUUUUAGCAAAGAGGAACUCGAUGGACUGAGAAGGCUGCUACAAGCACAACAAAAUCUACCAGUUGUUGGAUCAAGUUCCAUAGCUCAAAAAGGAUUUGACUUCGAGGAGGAUGAUUGGCAGUGCUAGGUGUCAUGCUGGACUCUAUCAUCUUAAGGUUCAACCAGAUUUUGUGAGACAAUCUCAUUUAGGAGAAGAAAAGAGGAAAAUGGUGGCAUCUGCAUUUG